AUGAACGCUGCCAGAAUGCUUAACACAUGCAAGUCAACUUGAAUUUGGGUUUUUAACUUCGGUUUGGGUGGCGGACGGGUGAGUAACGCGUAAAGAACUUGCCUCACAGCUAGGGACAACAUUUGGAAACGAAUGCUAAUACCUAAUAUUAUGAUAAUAGGGCAUCCUAUAAUUAUGAAAGCUAUAAGCGCUGUGAGAGAGCUUUGCGUCCCAUUAGCUAGUUGGAGAGGUAACGGCUCACCAAGGCGAUGAUGGGUAGCCGGCCUGAGAGGGUGAUCGGCCACAAGGGGACUGAGACACGGCCCUUACUCCUACGGGAGGCAGCAGUGGGGAAUAUUGGACAAUGGACCGAGAGUCUGAUCCAGCAAUUCUGUGUGCACGAUGAAGUUUUUCGGAAUGUAAAGUGCUUUCAGUUGGGAAGAAACAAAUGACGGUACCAACAGAAGAAGUGACGGCUAAAUACGUG
rnacentral:rRNA from 1 species